AGAACGAACGCUGGCGGCAGGCUUAACACAUGCAAGUCGAGCGCUGUAGCAAUACAGAGCGGCGCACGGGUGAGUAACACGUGGGAACAUGCCUUUCGGUUCGGAAUAACUCAGGGAAACUUGUGCUAAUACCGGAUACGCCCUUACGGGGAAAGAUUUAUUGCCGAAAGAGUGGCCCGCGUUGGAUUAGCUAGUUGGCGGGGUAAAAGCCCACCAAGGCGACGAUCCAUAGCUGGUCUGAGAGGACGACCAGCCACACUGGGACUGAGACACGGCCCAGACUCCUACGGGAGGCAGCAGUGGGGAAUCUUGGACAAUGGGGGAAACCCUGAUCCAGCCAUGCCGCGUGAGUGAUGAAGGCCCUAGGGUUGUAAAACUCUUUCGGCGGGGACGAUAAUGACGGUACCCGCAGAAGAAGCUCCGGCUAACUUCGUGCCAGCAGCCGC
rnacentral:rRNA from 1 species